rnacentral:rRNA from 1 species
UACGGGGGGAGCAAGCGUUGUUCGGAUUUACUGGGCGUAAAGGGCGCGUAGGCGGCCACCGCAAGUCAAUUGUGAAAUCUCCGGGCUUAACUCGGAAAGGUCAACUGAUACUGCGGGGCUAGAGUGCAGAAGGGGCAACUGGAAUUCUCGGUGUAGCGGUGAAAUGCGUAGAUAUCGAGAGGAACACCUGCGGCGAAGGCGGCAUCCUGGACCGACACUGACGCUGAGGAGCGAAAGCCAGGGGAGCAAACGGG